AAUAAAAAUUACAUGAGAAUCAUUUAAAGUUAGCAAAUAUUAGAGGCAACAUUAUUGUAAGCAAUGUCAAUUUCCUCCUCUGUCAUUUCAAUUGUUUCAUCACUGUCAUAGUCUCCUGCAACACCGGAGAUGGCAUUGGAUCUCCUAUUGCCAUCCCUCUCAUUUUCAUCAGUCUUCAGCCUUUUAUUCUUCAGCUUAGAAUCAUCACUAACUUUAGUAAGUUCUGCCUCGUACAUUUGUUUGCAUGCUUUGGCCUGUUGACAAAGAUCUUCUUUCGAAAGAGAGGAAGUAUCGACAAGCUUUAUCAGCUCCUCAACUGCACGAGGAAUAACAUUCCACUGUUCGGCUAUUUGUUGGACACCCUGAUUCUGUUCAAGGGCAUCUAUGGCAUCUUGUAAACAAAUUAUGAUCCCUCCAGCAGCUAUUUCUUUUAUUUCACUUGGCUCAGGCUUUUCCUCCCGACUCUCCAGGCAUGAGAUGGUUCUCUUCAGAUCUUCAAUAGCCCAUUCCUUCACUUUCAAACGAGAGAAGUGCUCUUUAGCAGGAUUAGAAUCUCUACUCUGCUAACAUAUAGCACAAGAAACAAAUCAUCAAUGGCAGAUGUAGGAAUUAUGGAAAAAAUGAAUAUAACUUUUGUAAGUACAAACAGUUUUAGUCUCUCAUGGUGGGAGGCUGAGAUAGUGCCAAAGAUUAAACUUCCACUAUAAUGUUAGGGAGAAAUAUAUUAGUGCCCAUUGGUACACUAAUUAUUCAAAAUAACCUUUGAGGAAGCAGAGGCAGUUGGCUUUGAAUGUGAUCCUCUUUCCACUUGUUUCUCAGAUUUUCUAGGUGUGGAUAGCUUUUGAUCUGCAAGCAUUCUUUGUAUUGAGAAGAUACACUUGCUACCAAGACUAAAAGAGGGGGGGGGGGGUGUUGGGGAGCGGACGGGGGUUGGGGGAGUGGGUGUGGGGGUGGUGUGGUGUGGUGGGGAAGUAUAAUAUAUACUAUCAAAUUAAAGCACUUUGAAUAUUGAUUACUGGUCAAGAGGCAGAUCAUCACAUGUGGCUAAGAAAGGAUAUAUUUAUUAAGAACUUGAUUUUAAAAAAAAUAAAAUAAAUUCACAGAUUAAUCACUAAUCACCCAAGACCCUAAGCAACACACCGGGCAUCCAUUAUCAAUAAAGUCAAAAAAUUGCAGAGUAUGGCAAACCAAUUAAUUCUUUGACAAUAAGCAUUAAGAUAUAUUCUUGUAACCUUUCAUAGAAUUUUCAGAAGUUCAAAAGCAAAAUAUUUGAUCCACAUGCAAAGGGACAGAUAGUAUCCUUCCAAAUUUACAAGGCUGGCAACUUGUACAAAUCAUAGUAACACAGUAGGUUCCAUUUUCACAAAAUCCAAAACAUAGUGCUUGUAUAAAAUUUCAUGAUAAUAGCAAUUAGCAAGUAAAUAAUCCAAUAAAUUUGACUUAACGGUUAGAAUUAUAAAAGCAUAUCUGACUACAACAUUCACAAGAAAUGUCAUAUAAAAAGCAAAAGAUGCUAAUUGGGCUCUGUCAAGGCUAUGAAAGCAUAUGGGCCUGUGGGGUGUGGCUACGCUUGGUCUUACACAUGAUAAUUAUAGAAAUAAAUAUAAAGAUAAAGAACAGUAAAUACACUUACUACUACCACUUUCAAUAGUGAAAUUGCUUUUGUGCCACGGUUUCCCAGCAUGCAUCAUGUAAUUAUCAAUAUCAACAAGCUUCUUCUGGCUAUAACAGUCUAAUAUCCAUUCCUUAAGCAAACAAACUAAAUAUCAUGAGAUAAUAACUAAGCAUAACUAGAAAUUUGUUACAAAUUGUAACAGCAUGAGAGCUCAGAUGGCAUUUCCUUUUACAGUACAUACCACUCAAGACACAAAAUAAGGACACAACACUGCUAGGAUGAAAUAUGAAAAGACAAAUGCAGAUUAAACCAAUAAUCCAUAUAGCAGAGAAUCACAAAAAGCCUCGACUUCUAUAAUUUAAGAGCAACACUGGAUUUGUUUGCUUCAAUAGCCAGAAUCUUAGAUAGUUAAGAAUGACAGGGAUAAUGACAGAAGCCACGCCACUAAAAGAAUAUGAACACUCUUUAACACUUAACGAUGUUCAGACUUGUCCAAAGAGUGUAGGCAUCAGUAUAACCAGCAACCUUUAUUGCCAUUAUCACAUUUAUUUGCAUUUGAAAAAGUUUUAUUUUAUUCAGAUCUAUGCCAUCACAAAGAGUUUAUAAAAAAGAAUGAAACAAGAAAAUUCAUAGUUAUGAACAAAUCAGUAAUAAAAGAUACUAUUGACUUACACUUAAUGAACCUUCCAUUAACAAUCUAAAAUGACUUGUCAAUUAUGUUAAAUCUUUUUGCUUUAAAUUCAUUUACUUUAUGAUAACAAGUGCAAACAACAAUAGAGAAACCUUCUUAACAAUUGUUCCACAAUCUGCCUCAACUUGUCGAAACUUAGGAGUAUUUGAAUAUGCACAAACCAAGAGUGUGCACUCUGAACUCCAGUCUGGUCUAUACUCUGCUCCCAUUUCCAGAGCUUGAGACCUCAAGGCUGCACGCUCUGGAUUAACAAACCCUGACAACACAAAUACUACUCCUUCCUGUCCGAAUAAGAAACUCAUACCAUAAUCACCAAUCCAUGAAAAAAUCAAUAAAACAUAAAAGUAUUAAAUUGAACUAUAAAUUGUUAUACCAAAAGUUUUGAAAAGUUCUUUGAAAUUGAAGCAGGGUCCCCAGAUUUUCUGCCACUGAUGGUUCCCUUGGAAGGACUAUUGUCUUUAAUUUCUUGGCUUUCCUCAUUUUUACGAGAGCUAGUUGGCUCCUUUCCACUAGAUUUACUCCCAUUCUCUCUUGAACUCAUCCAAGAAGGAAGAUUUCUCUUUUUAUCACUCUCUCCUUGAUUUGUCUUUGAAUUAGACAUGUCAAAAGACACAAAAAAGGCUUAAACUUAAAACUUACUCCGAAGGUCCUCUAUUGAUUCCACUAAACCUGAACUCCUAUUAGGUUCUUCUUCUUCUUCCGUUUUUCCUUUCCCCGAACUCUGAGAUGGCCAUGCAAGUGCUUAUUGAGGAACGCAUUAGUGAAGUAGCAUUUACUUCAAAAUAAAGUCACCAUGGAAUCUCCCUGAAAGCAUAAAUUACCA
rnacentral:misc_RNA from 1 species